AUUUCCAGGAGGGAAGCGGAUGGAGGUCGAUGAUGCAUCUCAUUCGGAUGAAAAAUGACUCAAGUUGGUCUUCCACUCGACUCGAGGUACAAACUAGCACAAGUCGUUACAUCGACACAAGCACGGGUGGAGUACUACAUGUUGGUUUUUCAUUGUGGCAAUCGAGGAGUGAAGCUUACACCCCUUGGGGCGGGCCACUGUGCACCUGCACACUCAUGGUGUUGGUUUGUGGGUUUUCCAUUCAACCCAUCUUGAAACAAAAACCAAGGAUUCUAACAUGUGUGUGAUUCGGUGGGUUUGUAAACCUGCAAGGUGUAAGGAAGAUGACAGGUGAUGUCCCCUCUCCAUGGGGUGCAUUGUCGAUUGAUCUUGAGCUUCUGCGAAGGGUUCAAGGGUGAGUAUGCCUAUUGGGACCUGAAAGAUGGUGAAUUAUGCCUGAGCAGGGAGAAGCCAAAGGAAACUCUAGUGGAGGCCCAUAGCGAUACUGAUGUGCAAAUCAUUCAUCUAACUUGGGUAUAUGGGUGAAAGACUAAUCAAACCAUCUAGUAGCUAGUUUCCUCGAAAGUUUCCUUCGAGAUAGAUGGAGCUCAUGUCUGAGUUUUAUCGAGUAAAGCAAAUGAUUAGAGGCAUUGGGGGUGUAACUCCCUUGAACUAUUCUUAAUAUUUAAAUAGGUAAGAUGGUGUAGAUGCUCCAUUGAGAUGUGCCAUGGAAUUGAGAGCUCCAAGUGGGCCAUUUUUUCGUAAGAAGAACUGACGAUGCGGGAUGAACUAAAAGUCAAGUUACGGUGUCAAAAUAUGCACUAACCCAGAUCCCACAAAGGGUGUUGGUUGAUUAAGUCAACAAGACGGUAGUCAUGGAAGUCAAAAUCCGCUAAGGAGUCUGUAACAACUCACCUGCCAAAUCAACUAGCCUCGAAAAUGGAUGGCGUUGAAGCGUGCGACCUAUACUUGACCAUCGAAGAAAUUUCUAGGCUUCGAUGAGUAGGAGGACGUGGUGGUUGUUGAGAAACCUUGGGUGUGAGCCUGGGUGGACCGGUCCUCGGUGCAGAUCUUGGUGGUAGUAACAAAUAUUCAAAUGAUAACCUUGAAGACUAAAGUGGGGAAAGGUUCCAUGUGAACAACACUUGGACAUGGNNNNNAAGUGGGGAAAGGUUCCAUGUGAACAACACUUGGACAUGGGUUAGUCAAUACUAAGAGAUGGGGAAGCCCUGUAUCAAGGGUGCACUCUACAUGAACAUCAAAAAGGAAUUGGGAUAAUAUUCCCAAACCAGGACAUGGUGGUGGACGAAAACGUUACUAAAUAUGGAGACAUCGUCGGGGCUCCUAGAAAGAGUUGUCUUUUCUUUUUAAUAGCUUUCCCACCCUGAAAUUGAAUCAACCAGAGAUAGGGUCUAGCAGCUGGAAGAGCAUCACAUGUAUUGCAUUGUCUAGUGGGCCCUCGGUGGCCCUUGAAAAUCUAGAGGAUCGAGUACCUUCCAUGCCCGGUCGUACUCAUAAUUGCAUCAUGUCUCCAAGGUGAACACCCUCUAGUCAAUAGAACAAUGUAGGUAAGGGAAGUCAGAAAAAUGGAUCCGUAACUUCGGGAAAAUGAUUGUAUCUGAGAGUUUUUCCUAGGGGUCUGUGUCAUUAACCUGUGGGAUGUUGGUCAUCUACCUGAGCUUCUAUUGCAGUGAGUGCGGGUAGUCAUGUGUCGAUUAGGCUACAAACGUAGAAUGUCCCCUUGCGGGGGAUUUUUCCUAGGCGACGAAUAGUUGACUCAGAACUGGUACUGACAAGGGGAAUCUGAUUGUUUAAUUAAAACAAAGCAUUUUGAUGGUCCUUGUGGAUCCUGAUGCAAUGUGAUUUCUACCUAGUGCUCUGAAUUUCAAAGUGAGAAAAUUCAACCAAGCACAGGUAAACGACGGGAGUAACUAUCACUCUCUUAAGGUAGCCAAAUGCAUCAUCAUCUAAUUAGUGAUGUGCAUGAAUGGAUUAACGAGAUUAUCACUAUCCCUAUCUACUAUCUAGAAAAACCACAUCCAAGGGAAUGGGCUUGGCAGAAUCAGUGGGGAAAGAAGAGCCUAUUGAGCUUGACUCUAGUCCGACUUUGUGAAAUGACUUGAGAGGUGU
rnacentral:rRNA from 1 species